rnacentral:rRNA from 1 species
UACGUAGGGGGCUAGCGUUGUCCGGAAUCAUUGGGCGUAAAGAGCGUGUAGGCGGCUCGGUAAGUCCGCUGUAAAAGUCAAAGGCUCAACCUUUGAAUGUCAGUGGAUACUGCCGGGCUUGAGUACGGAAGAGGAGAGUGGAAUUCCUGGUGUAGCGGUGAAAUGCGCAGAUAUCAGGAAGAACACCAAUGGCGAAAGCAGCUCUCUGGGACGGUACUGACGCUGAGACGCGAAAGCGUGGGGAGCGAACAGG